rnacentral:rRNA from 1 species
CCUACGGGAGGCAGCAGUGGGGAAUAUUGCACAAUGGGCGAAAGCCUGAUGCAGCGACGCCGCGUGAGGGAUGACGGCCUUCGGGUUGUAAACCUCUUUCAGCAGGGAAGAAGCGAAAGUGACGGUACCUGCAGAAGAAGCGCCGGCUAACUACGUGCCAGCAGCCGCGGUAAUACGUAGGGCGCAAGCGUUGUCCGGAAUUAUUGGGCGUAAAGAGCUCGUAGGCGGCUUGUCACGUCGGAUGUGAAAGCCCGAGGCUUAACCUCGGGUCUGCAUUCGAUACGGGCUAGCUAGAGUGUGGUAGGGGAGAUCGGAAUUCCUGGUGUAGCGGUGAAAUGCGCAGAUAUCAGGAGGAACACCGGUGGCGAAGGCGGAUCUCUGGGCCAUUACUGACGCUGAGGAGCGAAAGCGUGGGGAGCGAACAGGAUUAGAUACCCUGGUAGUCCACGCCGUAAACGUUGGGAACUAGGUGUUGGCGACAUUCCACGUCGUCGGUGCCGCNGCUACGCAUAACGUUACCCGUCCGUCGGGAGGUACGGCCGCGACGGACGUAAACCUACAAUAGAAGUUAGUACGGCGUGAGACGUGCCGACGGACGACGACGAGGGAGGAGG